rnacentral:tRNA from 1 species
GCUAACUAGGUGUAUAGGCAUAUUAAUUUUUCGUGUUAAUGGGGUCUUAGGACAGUUGGUA